CUUGUUUGUGAUGCCAGCGGGAUUGCAGUCCUAGUUCCUGAGCAAUGUGGGGGAUAAGGGAAAAAAAUACCAUUGUAUCCCUGUUCCCUCAUGAGAGUUCCUGGUGCCAAAGUCUAAACUCUCCCACCCACUGUCACUUCUCCCUGGGCAGAUCACUAACCCUGUGCAAUGACAGCAGCAGUUUGUGCAGGCAGGCUUGGUGCUAGUCAUCAAAGCCUCACCCUACGCCAGGAAGAAGUAGUGCAUAUCUAAUGAACAGUAGGAUUUGUUGGGGUGCCGUGUCUGGUCACCAGCUGUUGCGAGAAGGAGACACAGCAAGAGGGCAUCAUCUUGGCUAAGGAGAGAAUAGAGUAUUGGACCUUCAGCUUCUCAAAACAGGUGACGAGGCAUCAGUCUGGUUUCUAA